UACGUAGGUGGCAAGCGUUGUCCGGAUUUACUGGGCGUAAAGAGCGCGCAGGCGGUCGUUCAAGUCGCGUGUGAAAGCCCCCGGCUCAACUGGGGAGGGUCACGCGAUACUGAUCGACUGGAAGGCAGGAGAGGGUAGUGGAAUUCCCGGUGUAGUGGUGAAAUGCGUAGAUAUCGGGAGGAACACCAGUGGCGAAGGCGACUACCUGGCCUGUUCUUGACGCUGAGGCGCGAAAGCUAGGAGAGCAAACGGG
rnacentral:rRNA from 1 species